rnacentral:rRNA from 1 species
AGAACGAACGCUGGCGGCGUGCCUAACACAUGCAAGUCGAGCGCGAAUGGAGCAAUCCUAGUAGAGCGGCGCACGGGUGCGUAACACGUGGGUAAUCUGCCUGGAAGACCGGGAUAACUAGCCGAAAGGUUAGCUAAUACCGGAUAAGCCUACGAGGACUUCGGUCCUUGAAGGAAAAGGUGGCCUCUGUAUACAAGCUAUCACUUCCAGAUGAGCCCGCGGCCCAUCAGCUAGUUGGCGGGGUAACGGCCCACCAAGGCAACGACGGGUAGCUGGUCUGAGGGGACGAUCAGCCACACUGGAACUGAGACACGGUCCAGACUCCUACGGGAGGCGGCAGUGGGGAAUUUUGCACAAUGGGCGAAAAGCCUGAUGCAGCAACGCCGCGUGUGUGAUGAAGGUCUUCGGAUUGUAAAGCACUUUCGACCGGGACGAACCACCCUGAAGCUAACAUCUUCAGGCCUGACGGUACGGAGAAGAAGCACCGGCUAACUCUGU